rnacentral:rRNA from 1 species
AGCGAACGCUGGCGGCAGGCCUAACACAUGCAAGUCGAACGAACCUUUCGGGGUUAGUGGCGGACGGGUGAGCAACACGUGGGAACGUGCCUUUAGGUUCGGAAUAACUCAGGGAAACUUGUGCUAAUACCGAAUGUGCCCUUCGGGGGAAAGAUUUAUCGCCUUUAGAGCGGCCCGCAUUUGAUUAGCUAGUUGGUUGAGGUAAUGGCUCACCAAGGCGACGAUCAGUAGCUGGUCUGAGAGGAUGAUCAGCCAGAUUGGGACUGAGACACGGCCGAAACUCCUACGGGAGGCAGCAGUGGGGGAUCUUGCGCACUUGGCGAAAGCCUGACGCAGCCAUGUCGCGUAAAUGAUGAUGGUCUUAGUAUUGUUCAUUUCUUUCGCCGGGGACGAUAAUGACGGUACCCGGAGAAGAAGCCCCGGCUAACUUCGUG